rnacentral:lncRNA from 1 species
ACCAAAUUGCCGCUGGCCCAUAAAACACGGGAUGAGCCGGCUGGUGAGAGCUGGUGCCCUGCCACCCAGCGGCAAUUUGGUCUAGCCCUGAUUCCGGUGGGAACAUCUACUCUGGCCACCGUACCCGGAAUACCUGAUUGUCAGCAUCCAGCGAGCGGUCGGCAGAGGGCAACCCUCAGCAUCCCUUGGAGGUAUCGACGGCAGGGACGUGUCAACCAAUCGGUCAAACGGCUCUCACUGAUCGCCAGGCAGGCAUCCCUAGGACAGCACUCUCAGGAUCGGCUUCGAGGCACGUUGGGGGCAUUCUGCGCACCUGGCGUAUCCUACCUCUACUCUCGGCGAGAGCCGGGCAUGCUUCCCGCAUCUGAUCGACGGAGGCAUCGACGGAGGAUCAACCGUACAUCAUCCGGAUAUCCUGGCUGAUCAAGGGACAUGCAUUCAGGGCGCAAUCUGGGAGUGAGAGUGACACGGCGACCUGACAACCGCGCAUCAUCACGGCGCUGGCGGUGACAACGAUCGACGAGCGACAAACAUCAACAUUGGGCAUUGCGAUGACUGGCACGCGCGCUUCUGAGUCAGCGGAAUGUGUUGGACGGACACGGCAUAUGGGGACUUUUCCUGGAGACAGCAGAUUCUUCGUUGUAGUAGUUUAAGAAACCAAAAUCGGGUACUCGAGACCGUUCUUUAUUCAUGAUUUGUUUUGAUUCAAGUUUUUUUUUCUGAGUACCGCGAGAUUGCGCCAGGUCAGAGCCGCGGCGGGACGAUUUCAUAGCAGUUUUGAGAUUUUGUCAAAUGAACGGAACGGCUAUGAAACCAUCGAACCACGGGUCUGAUCGGGUGCCGGCAAUAAUAUGUAGCCGAUUUAUUUAUUAUUUUUUUGGAAAAAUCAUAUUUUCUAUGACAUUUUAAUUUAUGUUUUUACGCUAGCCUUCUUUUAUUUAUAUUUUUUUUAACCUACUUUUCUUUUACUAUUUUUUUUACGAUGAAACGCUGCACUUGCUACGCAAGAGCCUUUGCUUCGAAAGGGAUGGCUGAAUCAUUUUUUUUUCCCGUUUUUUUUCCUAAGGUGGGAUGGUGUAAUAGAAUGGGGCCAUAUCACUUACGUUUUAGGGCCACAUUCCAUUAUGCUUUCUAGCUCAUUCGGGCUGAGAGCCAUCGAUUUCGCAAGCGCAGGCUCAGGCGGGCAUUUGGAUGUUUAGAGUAUUCAUCUCGGAGCGCCGAUUUAUCUCGCAAUCACGUCUUUGACGUCAUCGCUCGAUCGGAUGCUACGAGAUGCGUGCAUCUCGAGAUUCGCGGCGGAUUCAUUCGUAUCUUUGGAGACAGCGAGUAUAGGAGCAUCUAGCCAGUGCAUCUUGUGUAUACCGUUGUAUUUUAUCGAGAUAU